UACGAAGGGGGCUAGCGUUGCUCGGAAUCACUGGGCGUAAAGCGCACGUAGGCGGAUUGCUAAGUCAGGGGUGAAAUCCUGGAGCUCAACUCCAGAACUGCCUUUGAUACUGGCAAUCUCGAGUCCGGGAGAGGUGAGUGGAACUGCGAGUGUAGAGGUGAAAUUCGUAGAUAUUCGCAAGAACACCAGUGGCGAAGGCGGCUCACUGGCCCGGUACUGACGCUGAGACGCGAAAGCGUGGGGAGCGAACAGG
rnacentral:rRNA from 1 species